UACGGAGGGUGCAAGCGUUAUCCGGAUUCACUGGGUUUAAAGGGUGCGUAGGUGGGCUUGUAAGUCAGUGGUGAAAUCUCCGUGCUUAACAUGGAAACUGCCAUUGAUACUAUGGGUCUUGAAUUAUCUGGAGGUUAGCGGAAUAUGGUCAUGUAGCGGUGAAAUGCUUAGAUAUGACAUAGAACACCAAUUGCGAAGGCAGCUGGCUACAGGUAUAUUGACACUGAGGCACGAAAGCGUGGGGAUCAAACAGG
rnacentral:rRNA from 1 species